rnacentral:rRNA from 1 species
AUUGAACGCUGGCGGCAUGCUUUACACAUGCAAGUCGAACGGUAACAGGUUAAGCUGACGAGUGGCGAACGGGUGAGUAAUGCAUCGGAACGUGCCCGGUCGUGGGGGAUAACGCAGCGAAAGCUGCGCUAAUACCGCAUACGAUCUGAGGAUGAAAGCGGGGGACCGUAAGGCCUCGCGCGAUCGGAGCGGCCGAUGUCAGAUUAGGUAGUUGGUGGGGUAAAGGCUCACCAAGCCGACGAUCUGUAGCUGGUCUGAGAGGACGACCAGCCACACUGGGACGUGUACACGGCCCAGACUCCUACGGGAGGCAGCAGUGGGGAAUUUUGGACAAUGGGCGCAAGCCUGAUCCAGCAAUGCCGCGUGCAGGAAGAAGGCCUUCGGGUUGUAAACUGCUUUUGUACGGAGCGAAAAGGCUCUCUCUAAUACAGGGGGCUCAUGACGGUACCGUAAGAAUAAGCACCGGCUAACUACGUGCCAGCAGCCGCAGUAA